UACGAAGGGGGCUAGCGUUGUUCGGAAUUACUGGGCGUAAAGCGCGUGUAGGCGGGUCUUUAAGUCCGGGGUGAAAUGCCAGGGCUCAACCUUGGAACUGCCUUUGAUACUGGGGACCUUGAGUCCGGGAGAGGUGAGUGGAAUUGCGAGUGUAGAGGUGAAAUUCGUAGAUAUUCGCAAGAACACCAGUGGCGAAGGCGGCUCACUGGCACGGAACUGACGCUGAGACGCGAAAGCGUGGGGAGCAAACAGG
rnacentral:rRNA from 1 species